rnacentral:rRNA from 1 species
CCUACGGGUGGCAGCAGUGGGGAAUAUUGCACAAUGGGGGGAACCCUGAUGCAGCGACGCCGCGUGAGCGAUGAAGGAUUUCGGUAUGUUAAGCUCUAUCAGCAGGGAAGAAAAUGAGGGUACCUGACGAAGAAGCCCCGUCUAACUACGUGCCAGCAGCCGUGGCAAUACGUCGGGGGCAACCGGUAUCCGGAUUUACUGGGUGUAAAGGGAAUGUAGAAGUUUGUGAAUGUAUGGAGUGAAAGGCAUUGGCUCAACAUGUGGACUGCUUUGGAAACUGUGCGGCUUGAGUGUCGGAGAGGCGAGAGGAAUUCGUAGUGUAGCGGUGAAAUGCAUAGAUAUUAGAAGGAACACCGGUGGCGAAGGCGGCUUACUAGACGAUGACUGACGUUGAGGCUCGAAAGCGUGGGGAGCAAACAGGAUUAGAUACCCGGGUAGUC